UUGGGAAACCAAACCACUUAUGAAUCUCAUACCAAAUCGAGCAAGCAAAAGGGCAUUUGACAAAAAGAUGAUCCUCACUUUCUGUGGAAGACAAACGGCAACCUCUCAAGGGCUCAUGAUCAACAACCAAGACACCACGGGAAGCCAAAUUAGCUCUAGUAGGAAGGCGCCCCCUAAGAAGUUGCCAAGAGUAGGUUACCACUUGAGGGAGCAAAACUUUUCCACAACCAUCCCAUCCACCUUCCCUUUGCCUCCUCCAAAAAAGAAUGGGAGUUAAGGAAAUUGUUCAAAUAAAUAUAAAUACACUUGACCGCAAAACUCCCACCAAUGCCAACGGAGCGAACCGCGAAUCCGACAAAUCCACCAAAGACACCAGAAGAACAAUUGACAACAACUCGUCUCUUCCACACGAGGUUCCACCGCUACACCGGAAAACCCCAUCCCAACCCCCAUGUCGGAAAUAUAACAAUCUGGAUUUUAGGAUAUUAAGAAAGACCUUGGAAAAACAACAUAAUGAGGGUGACUCCAGAUCCACUUGUCUAACCAAAACCGCAUUGCCCCCCGUCACCCAACUUUUUCACAUUUACACCAAUCACUCUCAACUCCCCCCUAUCUCCCCAACUAUACAAGUCCUUCCACCAAAGAGAAGAGGAAGAAGAAGCCCUAGAAAGACUGGGAUUAAGCAAAAUACCUUUCCCAUAUUUGGCACUCAAAACCAAUGACCAUUUAAGAUAAACAAGGUAAUUCGUCCAUCGGUUAUGACUGCUCAAAAACUAUUUCGGCUGAGAAACCAAAAUUUUGAAUUUUUAUAAGAGGGACCAAUUAGAAAGCCUAAGAUUUCCAGUUUCUGUCAUUUGCCCAUCGGUUAUGGCUGCUCACCAGUUGGGGGCAAGAGACACACUUUAAGAUAAACAAAGUCUAUUGGCCUCGUAGGGUGUGGUUUUGUUAAAUUUCUCCUUCCCUGCAUUUCACUGGUGCUUUGAGUUGAUGGUUAAAUUUUUAUGUCACUUAGAUUCAGGAAUGAACAUUGAAUGUCGUAGAACUCCGGAAGUCCACGAAUAUUAUUUAUCAUACACCGGGAGUUCAGCCUUACAAAGAACAGAUGAAUUUCGAAAAAUAGAAUGAAAAUACUUGAGACUUCAGUGAGAAACGGCGACCAAGGACUUGAGCUUCAAAAUGACCCCCUGCCAUGAAGAACUGUGAAAGCCUUAAAAAUCAUCUAAGUUUAAAUAUUCUUUCAUUAGACACAAUUUAUGGUAGGGUACUUCAAAAUUAUCUGAUCUAUGAUUCACUCGCCGCUUGCCCAUAGUGUAUUCUUAUAUUGUCCGCUAACUUCUUCUGCAAUGAUCUUUUCCUUUCCUCCACUGCCUUAUUUCUAUUCCCCC
rnacentral:lncRNA from 1 species